rnacentral:snRNA from 1 species
GUGCUCCCUUCAACAGUACAUAUCCUAAAAUUUGAACCAUACAGAGAACGUUAUCAUGGCCCUGAGCAAAGGCAAGUCACGGGGUUUAUUUUAGCAUUGCUGAGUGUU